AACGAACGCUGGCGGCAUGCCUAACACAUGCAAGUCGAACGAGACCUUCGGGUCUAGUGGCGCACGGGUGCGUAACGCGUGGGAACCUGCCCUUAGGUUCGGAAUCACUCCCCGCAAGGGGUGCUACUACCGGAUAAUGUCUUCGGCCCAAAGAUUUAUCGCCUUUGGAUGGGCCUGCGUUGGAUUAGCUAGUUGGUAGGGUAAAAGCCUACCAAGGCGACGAUCCAUAGCUGGUCUGAGAGGAUGAUCAGCCACACUGGGACUGGGACACGGCCCAGACUCCUACGGGAGGCAGCAGUGGGGAAUAUUGGACAAUGGGCGAAAGCCUGAUCCAGCAAUGCCGCGUGAGUGAUGAAGGCCUUAGGGUUGUAAAGCUCUUUUACCCGGGAUGAUAAUGACAGUACCGGGAGAAUAAGCCCCGGCUAACUCCGUG
rnacentral:rRNA from 1 species